GCUAAGGCCCCCAAUUCAUGGCUAAGUGGGAAAGCAGGUGGGACGACCAAAACAACCAGGAGGUUGGCUUAGAAGCAGCCAUCCUUUAAAGAAAGCGUAACAGCUCACUCAUCAAGCGAUCCUGCGCCGAAAAUGUAACGGGGCUAAAGCCAUUUACCGAAAUUGUGGGCUCGAAAGAGCGGUAGCGGAGCGUUCCGUAAGCGGAUGAAGCCGAAGGGUAACCGACGGUGGACGUAUCGGAAGUGCGAAUGCUGACAUGAGUAGCGACAAA
rnacentral:rRNA from 1 species